UCUGUUCUGUUGUUUUAUCAUUUGCCUCACCACCUUUUUGUUGAAUAAAUCUUCAUUGAAUGGACUGAACUUCUCUGUGGCUUAAUCAUGCAUUCUGACUGAUGCCCCAUGACGAUGGCAAUCAACCUCUAAAACGGAACCCUCCUUAAAGUUAUAUUACAGUUUACAUGGG